AAGACAUGGUGUAAGGGUAGCACGAAGAAUUUUGAAUUCUUUAGAUUAGGUUCAAGUCCUAUUGUUUUAG
rnacentral:tRNA from 1 species